rnacentral:lncRNA from 1 species
AAAGGGAAACGAAGGUUUCAGCUUCAUGACUUUGACUUUUCUCCUAUUCUUUCCUUUCAUGGUUCGCCUUCAUCAUUCAUCAUCAUCAGCAUCAUAAUCGUUUUCUUCUUGAUUCAUCGUUUUCUUCUUCAUUUUCAGCCACCUUUGUUCUUUCUUCAGCUCAAAAUCGCUCUUUCACUCUUCACACUCUUAACCCUCGCGUUUAUCCCUUGCAAACCCANNN